rnacentral:tRNA from 1 species
UGGCUUAGGGGUAGAGCAUCUGCCUUGCAUGUAGAAGGUCCCAGGUUCAAUCCCAGGCAAAUCAA